rnacentral:rRNA from 1 species
GAUGAACGCUGGCGGCGUGCCUAAUACAUGCAAGUCGAGCGAAUGGAUUAAGAGCUUGCUCUUAUGAAGUUAGCGGCGGACGGGUGAGUAACACGUGGGUAACCUGCCCAUAAGACUGGGAUAACUCCGGGAAACCGGGGCUAAUACCGGAUAACAUUUUGAACCGCAUGGUUCGAAAUUGAAAGGCGGCUUCGGCUGUCACUUAUGGAUGGACCCGCGUCGCAUUAGCUAGUUGGUGAGGUAACGGCUCACCAAGGCAACGAUGCGUAGCCGACCUGAGAGGGUGAUCGGCCAAACUGGGAAUGAGACACGGCCCAGACUCCUACGGGAGGCAGCAGUAGGGAAUCUUCCGCAAUGGACGAAAGUCUGACGGAGCAACGCCGCGUGAGUGAUGAAGGCUUUCGGGUCGUAAAACUCUGUUGUUAGGGAAGAACAAGUGCUAGUUGAAUAAGCUGGCACCUUGACGGUACCUAACCAGAAGGCCACGGCUAACUACGUGCCAGCCGCCGCCGUAA